GAUGAACGCUGGCGGCGUGCCUAAUACAUGCAAGUCGAGCGAAUGGAUUAAGAGCUUGCUCUUAUGAAGUUAGCGGCGGACGGGUGAGUAACACGUGGGUAACCUGCCCAUAAGACUGGGAUAACUCCGGGAAACCGGGGCUAAUACCGGAUAAUAUUUUGAACUGCAUGGUUCAAAAUUGAAAGGCGGCUUCGUCUGUCACUUAUGGAUGGUCCCGCGUCGCAUUAGCUAGUUGGUGAGGUAACGGCUCACCAAGGCAACGAUGCGUAGCCGACCUGAGAGGGUGAUCGGCCACACUGGGACUGAGACACGGCCCAGACUCCUACGGGAGGCAGCAGUAGGGAAUCUUCCGCAAUGGACGAAAGUCUGACGGAGCAACGCCGCGUGAGUGAUGAAGGCUUUCGGGUCGUAAAACUCUGUUGUUAGGGAAGAACAAGUGCUAGUUGAAUAAGCUGGCACCUUGACGGUACCUAACCAGAAAGCCACGGCUAACUACGUGCCAGCAGCCGCCGUAA
rnacentral:rRNA from 1 species